CAACGAGAUAGCAAUGCACAGCUGUCUUAAAUCCUGCCCCCUUCAAACAUGGAAAAUUAGCCACUCAUGAGUUCAUCAACACGUCGUGUUACGGCAUUAUACAUUUCUGUGGAUCAAAUUCGAGUAAUCAAUUAAGCAAUGCCAGCCCACCAUAAACACGUUUCCAAAACGUACAGUUCCAUUUACAACCACGAAAACCAAUGGGCUACCAAGAAAACCAUAAUAUAAUGUAUCUAUUUCUAUGAUGAAACACACCGAUAUGUAGCUAUACCCAGGGGCGUUAUUUGGGGUCUUGCAUUGGAAUUAUAUUGAGUUCUGCUUAUAUCAUGCUAUAUCACAAUAAACGGAAUACAUCACAAUGGAAAAUGAGUCCAUUUGGAGCAGGCGAUUUCAGUCUGCAAAAACUGGCGAGCGACACUAAACUCAGCUUCCACCAAAUUUGUUUUGCUCAGAUCCAGCAGUGGUUUCACCUUUUUCACAUCUAUUAAGUCAUGGCUCUCUGGGUCAAGGGCACACAAGGCCUCCACCAGUUGGCUGUUGCAUUCACUGAAUCGUUCUGACAUUCUCACCAAUGACGGCAUUCAACAUGCUGAAGUACAGUCUUUUACACUCUGUCUCUUCUCCUCUGUCCUGCUGGCCUACUGUACUGUCCACCAUAUAGCCGGAGGUUUGUACUAACAUCAUCGUUUGCUUGGAGGUGGUGGCUCAAACGGCUUCGAACUCGCUGCCACACCUCAGCUUUUCGACGCACUCCAACCCACUUCGGACCACUUUGACUCCAUUGUAAAGAUCCGUUGCUUUUGCCUGGAGUAAUUUGCUUGGAGGAUGGAACAAGAAGACUGAGGUUUCUGUGCACCAUGUUGGCGACAAACAUAAACCCGGGGUCCGUCAUUUCCUUAAGCAGCGCUGUAGCCUCGAGUCUUACAUCUGUGUUGUACGAACACGUGCAUUCGAUGUCAGAGAGGAACUUCACAAUGCUAUCACAACUUUAACAACCACUGAUACAGUAGCCAGUUGUCCAGUCCAUUCUCUUCCUAUGAACUAGAUGCUAUUAAAUUAAAAAAAUUUGUACAGAGAAUCUGCAACUAGGGUAGGAUUCUAGGCUAACCUGGGCUGGCUCCUCUGUUCCAAGAUUGUCACGAACAGUCCGAGGUGCAGGGGGCUAACGAGCCAUUAUCCUGGCGCAGAGAUAGCAGAGAUGUUGCUGCUGCUCAUUGCUCUCCUACUCCAUUAGCUUUGUUUGGGAAGCCAAUUUCUGACAUCCAUCAUUGCAGCUGGUUCGAGCUAGCUAAAUAGGCUAAGGCUAAUAACACUAAUGCUUUUCACAGCUAGCUAAGAAGCUAACUAAACUCUGUAUUGGUGGGGCAUGAGUUGCUUCAAUGGUAAACUUGAUCCCGCCCUUAUAAAUCAAAAUCAAAUAUUACAGGUGAAGGCGUAUCAAGUUACUCACUUAGCCUACCACAGAUGAGAAACCUUUUAUCCCACUUUUUAUGGAAACCCAAAGGAGUCAUACCUAACCGUCCCAGUGGCUUUCCAAUUCCAAAGCCCUCCUACACACACCACGGUGCGCUCUGUCCAUUGUGCUGACACAGGGCAGUGGAGAUACAGAUUUUGCGCAAACCUGUCACUCAAUCGCUUUGACUUUUUUUGCAAUUUUUAUAUAGGGACAUUAAACUAAAACUGAGGGGGCACAAGUUUCAACUGAGGGGCCUAUGCCCCCCUUUCCCCCCUUGUGAAGCCGGGUAUGUAUUGACCAUUUAUACAGACCACAAUAUGUACUGACUACAACCCUCUGGGAGAUUAAGAUGAGCAGAGAAAUUCUUUCUCUAUCAUGGCCCAGGUGUUUGACGGAAAACAGCCAAUCUACAGACCACAUCUUCAGGUCAACCAUCUUUGAUUAGUUUGAUGGGCAUUAGUGGCUACAUUUGGGAGAUAUUGUGAUGAUCGAAGUCACUACCAGUAAAUGAAAUAGGAAGUGGAUCAACCUAUGUGCUGCACUUGUGACAGAUUUGUUGGCAGAUUCACAAUAAUGUGCCUUGCUAGAAUUGAUGGGCUGUGGUUGUGUAGAUGUUGUUAAUGAUGUGGGUUUUAAACCAGUUUGUUCAGGUGGCAGUCUUACAGAGUGUUCAGAAGCAGGGUGAGAGACAACCACACAUGUGAUUAGGACUCAUCACAUUCAACAAUCAGGUGUAAUGUUUCAUCCGUUUCCCAUUGACAUGAUUGACUAUUUCUGAGUGUUGAUAUCUAAUGAAAUUGUGUUUUCAUGCUCGUUACAUUCAUUGGCUGUAGGUAUUAAAUCUGUGUUUUCUGUGUGACAUUUCACAAUGCGGUUGGUGGGAGGAGCUAUAGGAGGACAGACUCAUUGUAAUGGCUGGCAUGGAAUUGUGGUUUCCAUGUGUUUGAUACUGUUCCAUUCAUUCCAUUCCAGCCAUUACAAUGACCCUAUCCUCCUAUAGCUUCUCCCACUAGCCUCCACUGAUUUCGAGUCAAUAUUCAUCCAAUAUUUGGCUGUGAAUCUAAAGUUGUUUUGAUCAGUAUAUUAAGAUCAUCCACUGAUGUUUGUCUUGCCAGGUGACUGCACGGAUAGGGACAUUUCUCCUCGCGUUUUUAGUGGGGUGCCGAGAUUCUACGGUAAUACGAGAGAGGCAAUAAGGGAACAAACAAACUCUACAUUUUAAUUCAAGGGCCCAUGUGGUCCAAGAGCAAAUAAGCCAUGGACUUAUUUUAAAGCUUGUCCAAUGAAGGAAUAAUUUAAUGAAAUAACGGUAUGUUGACACUCUUCUCUUUUCAUUAAAAGAUUGUCUAAGAGUGGUGCCUCGGCUCUAUGUCCAGCUUGUAGCCAUAGCGAUGGCAUCUCGGGAACCAGGGUCAAAAGCCAGACAGUCCUAUAGUUUCAGUGCCCCUGAAUACAUACGAUAUCUGUCUUGUUUAUGACAUUGUACCAUUGGAAUAUAUUGUCGUCUUCCCAGGUGAUUAUUUGCACCGAUGGAAAGGCCUACACAGACCUGGGGAAUCUGGAGGUGGAGGACAACAAUCAAGCUCGAUAUUUCCUCUACUCCACCAUCUUCUACCAAGACCUGGGCGAGUAUGCUGCUAGUCAGGUGUUGGUGCAACUCUACUGUCUUCACUAGCUCAAUUUUCACUUCUAUUUGAGUAUCACAGUGCAGUGGAGAACCUAUUUUACCUUGGAUUAACACAUUUUCAUACAGGCUAUGUUGAUAGUCUAUAAGGUGUUAACAGAAAUUAUAUGUAGUUAUUGAAUACUGUAAGCAAUCACUUAUGUUACCCUUUCUCUCAUAGGGUGACAGUGGCAGUGUUGGCCAUUGAGGGGAAAGACUGCAGACUUGAUGAGCAGGGGAGACCAGCAGGUCAUACAGGCGAAAAGGUGGUGAUAGCAAGCUAUAUAUAUAGCAAGCUAUAUGAACUACACACUGAAUUUGAGAUUAUAGAGAACAGGAUGAUAGCUACACAUUGUAGUGUGAAUUUGCUGCUCCCAACAACUCUGUGAAAAUCAUCACUCCCCAAUCAGUCACCAAUCAUCAAUCAGAAGACGCACCUCCUCCUGUUUCCUACCCAAUCGCCGUUCCUUUCCCUUUGUUUAAAAACCCUGUCAGUUGUUUGCUGUGGAGCUCAAUCUCUCUGUAAAUGCCAUGUCUGUAGGUCUCUUUGUUUCACUCGCUCUUUGUGUAUUGACCUCUCUUUUGUUUGAGCACCUCCAUAGCACUUUGUCAUCACCUGUGAGUAUUGUUUUGGUUAUGGUGUUUGUUUGUUUGCUGGUGGGAAAAGGGGGAACCAAGACAAGUCGCCCAUGGGCAUACACUACCCGUAGGUAAACUUUGUUAAAUACACUAGUUAGAACUGGGCGGACCACCCACUGUAUUUUUGGUUAGUUAGUUAGCUGUUGUUAAAGUAGGCUAGUCUAGCUUAGGGGUGUUUUUGAAUACUUAUUGUUUCUUUCCUUGGGUCCAGCUCAGCCCCUUUUCCUGCCCCCCCCAUUACCGUGUGUUUAUUAAU